UACGUAGGGUGCAAGCGUUGUCCGGAAUUAUUGGGCGUAAAGAGCUCGUAGGCGGUUUGUCGCGUCUGCUGUGAAAACGCGAGGCUCAACCUCGCGCCUGCAGUGGGUACGGGCAGACUAGAGUGCGGUAGGGGAGAUUGGAAUUCCUGGUGUAGCGGUGGAAUGCGCAGAUAUCAGGAGGAACACCGGUGGCGAAGGCGGGUCUCUGGGCCGUAACUGACGCUGAGGCGCGAAAGCGUGGGGAGCAAACAGG
rnacentral:rRNA from 1 species